rnacentral:lncRNA from 1 species
UUUAGUGAUAAUUGUGCUUGAUUAGAGAAAAUUUUUUAAGGUUAAGAGUGAAGUCCUUUUUGGAAGAGUUGGGAAAGGUUUGCUCUUUGGAAUACUCUCGAGCAUCUAUAAUCACUGGCAAAUAAUUUGAUUGAAUUUCAAAAUUGAAUUGUAGAUUCACUUUCUUUUUUCCCAAAAUUGUAGAUUCAUUUUCCAGUUCGAGACAUUCUUAAAUAAUCUAAAAAGGGAUUUGUUAUUCUAAUAAAUUCAUCCAUAUUUAAUAAAUUUGUCACUUAGUGAGAGCACAGUAUGAAGUCGUCUCACUUCCAAGAAGAACAAUACAAAAUAUGAUAUGACACUGUCAUGCCAUUUGAUUACUAUAGCAGUUUUUUAUUGCGAGUUUCAGAUUUAUACAUGUGUGUUAUGUUGAAUAGGUGAAGUGCUUAAUUAAAAAGCAUACCGUGCAUAGUGUGUUUGAUGAUUUGCUUGAUCUAUUGAUUUUGUUACAACUCACUCAUCUUUCUCUUGAGAGACAUGUGGAUUUCUACUCUUUUCAUCUGAGCAUCAGUAGAAUUUAUAAUAUUUGAAAUAUUGUUUCAUCUAAAACUGUUGUAUAUUAGAGUUGAAGAUAUGAUAUAUCAUGAACUUGCACUUUCAUUGUUGAGGGAGGGGGUACACGAUGAUAAUAUUUUGGCAGUGCCAUCGGUUGUGGUACUUACUGAUGAUAUGAGAAAGUCAAUAAUUUGUUUUAAUGUCUUGAUGGACCUUUAGUUCUUUAUUGAUCUUGUAUCCCAUUUAAACACAUCUCUGUGCUGAUUAGAUUAGGUGCUUGAUCAAAGUUUUUUAUCAUUUGAAGCUCUAUUUAUUUACUUCAAUUUGAAUUUCUUUCUUAUCAAAGAAGUUGAUUUAUAGGCCACAGUUGAAGAGGGACGGAGCAGAUUUCGUAGGGCAUUUACUCAUGGUUUUUUCAUUAAUACUGCAAUACAGUUGGUUCUAAAGUCUAAAUAAGGGUAGAGUGUAAGUUCCAUUUUAUUGUUCUUCUUCAUUUCAGUGAUAAUUUUCCUGGUAAUUUCUUUUAUUUUUAAUAGACCCCACUACCAUUUUUAUUGUCCAGGAAGAGCUGAAAUCAAAUAACAGUGUCUCCGUGACUUUUUGUUUUGUGUCUCCCCUUCCUCUUUUUUGUCUCAAAUGUUGCGUUCAGCGAGAUUUUUCUUUGAGUUUAUGAUUGUGGAAUGCAUGUACCUCUAUUGAUUCAGAUUUAACCUGGUCGGAAUUUUUUGGUUUACUGCAUUAUGCCAAUUUGCAAUUCCAUCCAAAAUAACAGGUUAGAAAAUUCCAAAUAUCCAAACUACAAUUUCAAAUUUUGAUGUAGCUCUAUAAUUUUCAGAAAAUAGAUGAAAGAUUUUGUACUUAGAUUGGUUGCGAUUUCUAAAUGCGAAUAGUUUUCUUGAAUUAGAUUCGGUUACAGUGGCUUUUAUUUGUUUUUUCUCGCGUAUGUUGAUUUCAUAGCCAUAAGUAACAAGAGUUAACAUGUGCAGAACUUUCAACACAAUAUUUGAUAGUUUGAUUGUAUAAAAUAUGUGCUCUCGACUUGAAUGAAUGGUAUUAAUGAAGAAAAACUUAGAUAUGUGGCAAAUGUUGUCUUUAAAGUCAUGUCAUUGCUUCGUCGUCUGAUUUUUUGGAUAAGGAAUAGAUGUCCUCUGAGUUAUGUACUGUUGCUUUUCCAGUCUUCUAUUGGACAUUUAUGGAGUAUCAAUUUUCAUUAUUAUAAGUUUUUAUAUUUUGUAUGAAUUUUUGUGGCAUUAAACUUAGAGGUCAAACUAUAUAACUAUAACCUCUAUUCAUUACUAAUUCUCUCAUCAUACUUGUGUGAUUGAAGUGCUAUUCUUUUAGUUUCUAUUAUAUCAAUGUUUGCUGAAUGUUGUUGGUUAGAUGUUAGAGAACAAUUGGUUUGGAAGUAAGGGUAUUUGGUAGAGUUGCUUUUGACUUUCUGUUUUAAACUGAAUUUAGGUUUUUGUUUGUUUCUACUGGUUUUUGCCACUUUGUACGCUCAUUACUCAUUUCAGUCAUAAAAUCAUGGUGAUCAAAAUUCUAAUUAGUAAGAGGGAAAAGUUUCACCAUGGAAUAGCGUCUUAUUCCCUGUUGUUCUAUGAGAAAAUUGGAAGUAGUAAAAAAGAACUACUAUUAUUGGAGGAGGAAAAAACUGAAAGCAACCUAUUUUUUUAAAGCUUAUCAAAUUCCUAGAUUUAUCAGUGUCAUAAAGUGGCCACGCUUCGUACAAGCUCUUCUUUUCUUCUGUUACUUCUUUUUACCUUUUUGCUUAACUUUUCAUGUAGGUGGAGUUCUUGGAGGGAAGGAUGCCGGGGGUCUAUUUGGAAACAGCCUCUCUACCCAAGGGUA